rnacentral:rRNA from 1 species
UAAAGAUUCAUCGGCUGCGGAUGGCCAUGCGGCGCAUUAGCUAGUCGGCGGGGUAACGGCCCACCGAGGCGACGAUGCGUAGGGGUUCUGAGAGGAAGGUCCCCCACACUGGUACUGAGACACGGACCAGACUCCUACGGGAGGCAGCAGUGAGGAAUAUUGGUCAAUGGCCGGGAGGCUGAACCAGCCAAGUCGCGUGAGGGAAGACGGCCCUACGGGUUGUAAACCUCUUUUGUCAGGGAGCAAGAGGCGGGUCGAGACCUGCUGUAAGAGUACCUGAAGAAAAAGCAUCGGCUAACUCCGUGCCAGCAGCCGCGGUAAUACGGAGGAUGCGAGCGUUAUCCGGAUUUAUUGGGUUUAAAGGGUGCGCAGGCGGAGGCACAAGUCAGCGGUAAAAUCGCGGGGCUCAACCCCGCUCCGCCGUUGAAACUGUGUCCCUUGAGUGCGCGAAGGGUAGGCGGAAUGCGUGGUGUAGCGGUGAAAUGCAUAGAUAUCACGCAGAACUCCGAUCGCGAAGGCAGCCUACCGGCGCGCAACUGACGCUCAUGCACGAAAGCGUGGGUAUCGAACAGGAUUAGAUACCCUGGUAGUCCACGCAGUAAACGAUGAAUGCUAUCUGUCCGGCCGGAAUGACGGCUGG